GCCCUCGCCGACGAAGCACAUUAAAGCCAACCCUGCUCCGACGAAGCAAAGGUCUUCCUCGUCUUCGCUCUCAGCUCCGGCGUUCGUCAAGCGGUCGUUCCUCCGCCCUCGCCGACGAUGCACAUUAAGGCCACCCCUGCUCCGACGAAGCAAAGGUCUCCCUUUCUCGCGAUCCGACGCUCGCUCGCUCGCUCGCUGCUCCAGCGUUUGUCAAGCGGCUGUUCCCCCACCAUCGCCGACGAAGCACGUUAAGGCCGCCGCUGCUCCGAUGAAGCUCCAGUGUAUUCAGUCUGCCCACAUUACAAGGAAAAUAUUCAGUUUAUUUUCUCCACUGCCAUUGAUGGUAAGAUAAAAGCUUGGCUGUAUGAUUGCCUGGGAUCUAGAGUGGACUAUGAUCCUCCCGGUUUUGCAAGGGGCAGAAAUAUUGUUACACCCAACUGUUAUUGGUUCUGAACCACAGGAUGAAGCACGUUAAGGUCGCCCCUGCUUCGACGCUCACUCCGUCCUUGCUCCGGCGCUUGUUCGAAAAAAUCCGGCGCUCGCCGCUCUCUGCUCCGUUGCUCUCUUCUCGCCUCCUUAUGAAGCUGGAGCUGUCAGCCUCCCCAAAGACCAGAUUUUCUCUUCUAUCACGGAGGUUGAGAAGACGAUUGACCACGUUCAGGAAGUGAGCUCGGGAUUUUUAAACACUGCACAGAGUAUUUUCCAAAUUGUUGCAGAUGCUCUGAAACCGGGUGUAGAUGUUGCGGCUUCGUUGUUGCAGAAAGCUGGAGAACUCCCCAGCUCUUUUCGAGGCUUCAAAGAAAGCCCAAGAAGCAAUGCAGAGCUCAGGCAUUGAUGCACAGCCUGUCAUGAGUGCUGCAAAGAUGUCUUGAUUUGCAGAAGGCGCUAGCCUCGGCCUCCGGAGAGCCCCAUUGGCAUCUUUUCCUCCAGGAGCCCCGCCAUCGUGACCUUCGUGCUCGUGAAGGCCAAGCAAGAUGAACUGAAGAACACUGAUGAGAGGAUACAGGGAUUGAGGCAUAAUGUGCAGCAGUCAGAUGUCUUACUUGUUUCUGUAUUAUUUGAUCUUUUAUUAGGACUACUUGUCAAGAAAGAAUAGAUGGUUGGAACUUGUAAUUUUGAUAGCUUAAAUCAAAGGCUCAGCUAUUCCCCCCUC